rnacentral:rRNA from 1 species
CCUACGGGGGGCUGCAGUGAGGAAUAUUGGUCAAUGGACGAGAGUCUGAACCAGCCAAGUAGCGUGAAGGAUGACUGCCCUCUGGGUUGUAAACUUCUUUUAUAUGGGAAUAAAAUGUUCCACGUGUGGGAUUUUGUAUGUACCAUAUGAAUAAGGAACGGCUAACUCCGUGCCAGCAGCCGCGGUAAUACGGAGGAUCCGAGCGUUAUCCGGAUUUAUUGGGUUUAAAGGGAGCGUAGGUGGAUUGUUAAGUCAGUUGUGAAAGUUUGCGGCUCAACCGUACAAUUGCAGUUGAAACUGGCAGUCUUGAGUACAGUAGAGGUGGGCGGAAUUCGUGGUGUAGCGGUGAAAUGCUUAGAUAUCACGAAGAACUCCGAUUGCGAAGGCAGUUCACUGGACUGCAACUGACACUGAGGCUCGAAAGUGUGGGUAUCAAACAGGAUUAGAUACCCUUGUAGUC